rnacentral:rRNA from 1 species
AGUAGUUUGAUCAGUGGCUCAGGAUGAACGCUGGCGGCGCAUUUAAGACAUGCAAGUCGAACGAAGAAUUCACACCGAAUGAAGGAUGAAGAUUCAUCAGAUUCUGGAUUUCACCGUGAAUUCUUAGUGGCGGACGGGUGAGUAAUACGUAGAUAAUCUGCCUCUUAGAGGGAAAUAACAGAGAGAAAUUUCUGCUAAUGUCCCAUAAGACCACACUAUGGCAUCUUAGAGUGAUCAAAGGAGUAAUCCGCUAAGAGAUGAGUCUACGGCUGAUUAGCCAGUUGGCAGUGUAAUGGACUACCAAAGCUAUGAUCAGUAGCCGAGCUGAGAGGCUGGCCGGCCACAUUGGGACUGAGACACGGCCCAGACUCC